rnacentral:rRNA from 1 species
UUGUAGAGGAUGCUUUGGGUGAAACGCCAGUCUAAGUUCCUUGGAAGAGGACGUCAUAGAGGGUGAGAAUCCCGUAUGUGACUGGAAAUGUUAACCUAUGUAAAGCUCCUUCGACGAGUCGAGUUGUUUGGGAAUGCAGCUCUAAAUGGGAGGUAAAUUUCUUCUAAAGCUAAAUAUUGGCGAGAGACCGAUAGCGCACAAGUAGAGUGAUCGAAAGAUGAAAAGCACUUUGGAAAGAGAGUUAAAAAGCACGUGAAAUUGUUGAAAGGGAAGCGCUUGCAAUCAGACUUGUUUAAACUGUUCGGCCGGUCUUCUGACCGGUUUACUCAGUUUGGACAGGCCAGCAUCAGUUUCGGCGGCCGGAUAAAGGCUCUGGGAAUGUGGCCUUCACUUCGGUGAAGGUGUUAUAGCCCAGGGUGUAAUACGGCCAGCCGGGACUGAGGUCCGCGCUUCGGCUAGGAUGCUGGCGUAAUGGUUGUAAGCGACCCGUCUUGAACCAC